rnacentral:misc_RNA from 1 species
UAAAACCAAAGGAUUGACUAAAGGUCUAUCUCUGUGUUUCGAAAUUCUGUUUGUUUAGUUGCUCUGGAAAUGAAGGAAAGCAUAAGGAAAUUUGUGACAAAGAGAAGUUUCUCCAUUAAAUGUAGAUAAUUGGUUGUUGUUUUAGUAAGCUUAAAAUCAAAUGCUACACUAGGAUUCUAGGAAUGUGUUUCUCGGUAACCAAGC